CAUUAAAACGCCGAUUCUCGUACGAUCAUCGAAGUUAAGCAACGUUGAGCCUGGCCAGUACCUAAAUGGGUGACCGCUUGGGAAUGCCACGU